UACGUAGGUGGCGAGCGUUAUCCGGAAUUAUUGGGCGUAAAGAGCGCGCAGGUGGCUGAUUAAGUCUGAUGUGAAAGCCCACGGCUUAACCGUGGAGGGUCAUUGGAAACUGGUCAACUUGAGUGCAGAAGAGGGAAGUGGAAUUCCAUGUGUAGCGGUGAAAUGCGUAGAGAUAUGGAGGAACACCAGUGGCGAAGGCGGCUUCCUGGUCUGUAACUGACACUGAGGCGCGAAAGCGUGGGGAGCAAACAGGAUUAGAUA
rnacentral:rRNA from 1 species